rnacentral:rRNA from 1 species
AGAGUUUGAUCAUGGCUCAGGAUGAACGCUAGCUACAGGCUUAACACAUGCAAGUCGAGGGGAAACGACAUCGAAAGCUUGCUUUUUGAUGGGCGUCGACCGGCGCACGGGUGAGUAACGCGUAUCCAACCUGCCCACCACUUGGGGAUAACCUUGCGAAAGUAAGACUAAUACCCAAUGAUAUCUCUAGAAGACAUCUGAAAGAGAUUAAAGAUUUAUCGGUGAUGGGUGGGGAUGUGUCUGAUUAGCUUGUUGGCGGGGUAACGGCCCACCAAGGCGACGAUCAGUAGGGGUUCUGAGAGGAAGGUCCCCCACAUUGGAACUGAGACACGGUCCAAAAUCCUACGGGAGGCAGCA